AUGGUAGGAGAGCGUUCUAAGGGCGUUGAAGCAUGAUCGUAAGGACAUGUGGAGCGCUUAGAAGUGAGAAUGCCGGUGUGAGUAGCGAAAGACGGGUGAGAAUCUCGUCCACCGAUUGACUAAGGUUUCCAGAGGAAGGCUCGUCCGCUCUGGGUUAGUCGGGUCCUAAGCUGAGGCCGACAGGCGUAGGCGAUGGAUAACAGGUUGAUAUUCCUGUACCACCUAUAAUCGUUUUAAUCGAUGGGGGGACGCAGUAGGAUAGGCGAAGCGUGCGAUUGGAUUGCACGUCUAAGCAGUAAGGCUGAGUAUUAGGCAAAUCCGGUACUCGUUAAGGUUGAGCUGUGAUGGGGAGAAGACAUUGUGUCUUCGAGUCGUUGAUUUCACACUGCCGAGAAAAGCCUCUAGAUAGAAAAUAGGUGCCCGUACCGCAAACCGACACAGGUAGUCAAGAUGAGAAUUCUAAGGUGAGCGAGCGAACUCUCGUUAAGGAACUCGGCAAAAUGACCCCGUAACUUCGGGAGAAGGGGUGCUCUUUAGGGUUAACGCCCAGAAGAGCCGCAGUGAAUAGGCCCAAGCGACUGUUUAUCAAAAACACAGGUCUCUGCUAAACCGUAAGGUGAUGUAUAGGGGCUGACGCCUGCCCGGUGCUGGAAGGUUAAGAGGAGUGGUUAGCUUCUGCGAAGCUACGAAUCGAAGCCCCAGUAAACGGCGGCCGUAACUAUAACGGUCCUAAGGUAGCGAAAUUCCUUGUCGGGUAAGUUCCGACCCGCACGAAAGGCGUAACGAUUUGGGCACUGUCUCAACGAGAGACUCGGUGAAAUCAUAGUACCUGUGAAGAUGCAGGUUACCCGCGACAGGACGGAAAGACCCCGUGGAGCUUUACUGUAGCCUGAUAUUGAAAUUCGGCACAGCUUGUACAGGAUAGGUAGGAGCCUUUGAAACGUGAGCGCUAGCUUACGUGGAGGCGCUGGUGGGAUACUACCCUAGCUGUGUUGGCUUUCUAACCCGCACCACUUAUCGUGGUGGGAGACAGUGUCAAGCGGGCAGUUUGACUGGGGCGGUCGCCUCCUAAAAGGUAACGGAGGCGCUCAAAGGUUCCCUCAGAAUGGUUGGAAAUCAUUCAUAGAGUGUAAAGGCAUAAGGGAGCUUGACUGCGAGACCUACAAGUCGAGCAGGGUCGAAAGACGGACUUAGUGAUCCGGUGGUUCCGCAUGGAAGGGCCAUCGCUCAACGGAUAAAAGCUACCCCGGGGAUAACAGGCUUAUCUCCCCCAAGAGUUCACAUCGACGGGGAGGUUUGGCACCUCGAUGUCGGCUCAUCGCAUCCUGGGGCUGUAGUCGGUCCCAAGGGUUGGGCUGUUCGCCCAUUAAAGCGGUACGCGAGCUGGGUUCAGAACGUCGUGAGACAGUUCGGUCCCUAUCCGUCGUGGGCGUAGGAAAUUUGAGAGGAGCUGUCCUUAGUACGAGAGGACCGGGAUGGACAUACCUCUGGUGUACCAGUUGUCGUGCCAACGGCAUAGCUGGGUAGCUAUGUGUGGACGGGAUAAGUGCUGAAAGCAUCUAAGCAUGAAGCCCCCCUCAAGAUGAGAUUUCCCAACUUCGGUUAUAAGAUCCCUCAAAGAUGAUGAGGUUAAUAGGUUCGAGGUGGAAGCAUGGUGACAUGUGGAGCUGACGAAUACUAAUCGAUCGAAGACUUAAUCAA
rnacentral:rRNA from 1 species